GAGAUGCCCCUAUGGAGCAGGACUUGCUUCAGUGGAACUUUGGUGCUCAUCGAGUCUGCCCCGUGAGUGUGUCGCU
rnacentral:pre_miRNA from 1 species